UCCAGUAAGCUAUUCAUAUUCACAGACUGGUGCUAGUAAAAUCUGUCAUCCCCUUUUCUCAGAAGAAACAACACUAGAACUUUCCACAACAGACACAAUUACUGGUAAGUGUGUUUAUAUAUAUAUAUAUAUAUAUAUAUAUAUAUAUAUAUAUAUAUAUAUAUAUAUAUAUAUAUAUAUAAAUAUAUAUAUAUAUAUAUAUAUAUAUUAGAUAAUUCCUUUUUUAAUUUCCCUAUUUAAUACUUAAACUCUUUUAUCUCUGUGUAUCUCUGCAGACACAACAUCACUGCAACCAACAACAGAAAACACCACAACAGACACAUCUAUUAGUAUAAAUUUAACAGACACAACAUUACUGCAAACAACAACAGAAACCACCACAACAGAAACAACUAUUGGCACAACUGCUCUAACAACAAUACUGGAGACAACAACAGAAACGACCACAACAGACACAACUAUUGGCACAACUGUUCUAACAACAAUACUUGAGCCAACAACAGAAACGACCACAACAGACACACCUAUUGGCACUACUGUUGUAACAACAUUACUGCAGCCAACAACAGAAACGACCACAACAGACACACCUAUUGACACAUUCCUCACAAUAACUGCAUCUUCAACCACUAUUUCCUCAACUACUGUUCCCUCUACUAUUGUUCCCACAAAUGCAACUUCAGCACCACCAGGAAAUGUGAUGGUCAUGCGCCUAAAAGUUAUUUCAGUCAAAAACUUGAUGGCAGCGAACAGCUCCCAGUUAUUCCUCCAACAGCUCAAAGAGAUCCUAAUAAGCCGAGGAGUUUCAGACAACUUCACACUUCAACUGAGAUCCAUUAGCAAGAAGUCACCCUAGAAGGUGGAGGUUGUGGGAGUCUUCAAUAACACGUUGCUUAUUAACGUCCUAAAUAACUUUUCUAAAAUGUAUUAUAAAGUCAUUUUCUGAUAAGACAAUAUAGAUAAACCUAGAAGAUAAAAUGAAGCAAAAGCUAAAAUCACAUACAUAGCAAUAUUUUUUAUAAACAAUGAUCUGUGAACUAUAAGAACACCUCUUGUGUUUACUUUAGCUAUAAAUUUGCAUAAGAACAUAUAAUUU
rnacentral:lncRNA from 1 species